AACGAACGCUGGCGGCAUGCCUAACACAUGCAAGUCGAACGAGACCUUCGGGUCUAGUGGCGCACGGGUGUGUAACGCGUGGGAAUCUGCCCUUGGGUUCGGAAUAACAGUUGUAAACGACUGCUAAUACCGGAUGAUGACGUAAGUCCAAAGAUUUAUCGCCCAGGGAUGAGCCCGCGUAGGUUUAGCUAGUUGGUGGGGUAAAGGCCUACCAAGGCGACGAUCCUUAGCUGGUCUGAGAGGAUGAUCAGCCACACUGGGACUGAGACACGGCCCAGACUCCUACGGGAGGCAGCAGUGGGGAAUAUUGGACAAUGGGCGAAAGCCUGAUCCAGCAAUGCCGCGUGAGUGAUGAAGGCCUUAGGGUUGUAAAGCUCUUUUACCCGGGAUGAUAAUGACAGUACCGGGAGAAUAAGCCCCGGCUAACUCCGUG
rnacentral:rRNA from 1 species